rnacentral:pre_miRNA from 1 species
GAAAUUGAGGAGAGGGAUGAAUAAGAGGAAACAUAAGGCAUGGGUGGAUUGGGAAAGAUAACAUUUUUUUUUAAUCUACUUCUAAGUUGUAACCACUCAAAAGUAGUAAUUAGUUUUAUCAUCUUCCCCACUCACCCAUGCCAUAACCUUCCUAAAAUUCCAUCUCCCUCUCCAUAUUCUCU